AAUGAACGUUGGCGGCGUGGAUUAGGCAUGCAAGUCGUGCGGCAGCAGGCCCCGCAAGGGGUGCUGGCGAGCGGCGAAAGGGAUAGUAAUGUGUGGAUACCUGCCCUGGGGACGGGGAUAGCUGCUGGAAACGGCAAUUAAUACCCGAUGAUGUCUCCGGGCCAAAGGUGUAAUUCCGCCCUAGGAGGGGUCCACACUCCUAUUAGCUAGUUGGUGAGGUAACGGCUCACCAAGGCCACGAUGGGUAGCGGGUGUGAGAGCACGACCCGCAUCACUGGGACUGAGACACUGCCCAGACACCUACGGGUGGCUGCAGUCGAGGAUCUUCGGCAAUGAGCGAAAGCUUGACCGAGCGACGCCGCGUGCGGGAUGAAGGCCUUCGGGUUGUAAACCGCUUUCGGAGGGGAGGAAAUCUAGGGGGGAUCACCUCCUUAGUUGACCUAUCCUAGGAAGAAGGACGGGCUAAGUUCGUGCCAGCCGCCGCCGUAAAAC
rnacentral:rRNA from 1 species